AAUUUUUUGAAAUAGUGGGACAUCACAAAAACGUACUGUUACACAGUUUCCACUAACCUUAGUUAUAAUAGGAAAAAACUUAAGCCAUUAUGUCAGAUAAAAUUCUUGGAAUCAUUUCAGUAUAAAGAUCAUAUGCUUUUUAGCUGAUAAUGGUAGAUAAAAUUAGGUGUUUUUCUGACUUAUGGAUUUUUGCUUAUCAGAAUCCAAUCUUGAGAAAUUUUAGUUUUUAUAAUUCUUAUUUUUAAUUUUCAAAAAGCAUUUUAAGAAGCAAAAGAGGCUAAUUCCUGAAAGAACUGUUUGGAAGUAUUUUGUUCAGCUUUGCAGUGCGUUGGAACACAUGCAUUCUCGAAGAGUCAUGCAUAGAGAUAUAAAACCAGCUAAUGUGUUCAUUACAGCCACUGGGGUGGUAAAACUUGGAGAUCUUGGGCUUGGCCGGUUUUUCAGCUCAAAAACCACAGCUGCACAUUCUUUAGUUGGUACGCCUUAUUACAUGUCUCCAGAGAGAAUACAUGAAAAUGGAUACAACUUCAAAUCUGACAUCUGGUCUCUUGGCUGUCUACUAUAUGAGAUGGCUGCAUUACAGAGUCCUUUCUAUGGUGACAAAAUGAAUUUAUACUCACUGUGUAAGAAGAUAGAACAGUGUGACUACCCACCUCUUCCUUCAGAUCACUAUUCAGAAGAACUCCGACAGUUAGUUAAUAUGUGCAUCAACCCAGAUCCAGAGAAGCGACCAGAUGUCACCUAUGUUUAUGACGUAGCGAAGAGGAUGCAUGCAUGCACUGCAAGCAGCUAAACAUGCAAGAUCAUGAAGAGUGUAACCAAAGUAAUUGAAAGUAUUUUGUGCAAGUCAUACCUCCCCAUUUAUGUCUGGUGUUAAGAUUAAUAUUUCAGAGCUAGUGUGCUUUGAAUCCUUAACCAGUUUUCAUAUAAGCUUCAUUUUGUACCAGUCGCCUAAAUCACCUCCUUGCAACCCCCUAAUGACUUCGGAAUAACUGAAUUGCAUGUUAGGAGAGAAAAUGA
rnacentral:sRNA from 1 species